CAAAAAAUAACUUUCUUAAAAUUAAAAAUUGAAAUUUUUUUAAUUUGUGCAAAAACAAUUAUGAAAAUUAAAGACAAGAAGACCCUAAGAAUUUUUAAAAUUUAAAUAAUACAUUUUUUGUUUUAAUUAAAUUUUAACUGGGGCGGUUAAAAAAUAUUAAAAACUUUUUAAUUUUAAAAUGACCCAUUAUUAAUGAAAAUAUGAUUAAAUACUCUAGGGAUAACAGCGUUAUAUUUUUUGAUAGAUCAUAUUGACAAAA
rnacentral:rRNA from 1 species